CGCUUGUUCUUUUCUCGGUGGAGGAAGUGCUUUUCCGUAGAUCUCCGGUUCAGAUCUGGUUAACUCCGGUGUAGAUUUGGGCUGUGCAAGGCGUUGUCGGUGAAGCUUGAGGACGGCUUCCUGCUCGUCAUGUCCUUCUCCAGGUUUUCAUUCCGGGUUUGCUGUCUGGAGGGUUUUCCAAUCUCUGUGGUGGAGCUCUUCGAGGCGGUGGCGCGUGAGGCGUCGGGUAACUUUGCUCGAGGCUGUAUCCCUCGUCGCGUGAUACGUGGUGUCCGGAUUCGUGUCCUCAAGUAGGGUUAGGGUUUUGAGAUUCUUGGAUCUCGGAAUUUUCUCCCUUGGCUUUAGGUUCCUCCGGUGGUCUCCGGUGGUUCCGCGUUUGUCAGUUCGUUCUGCUUUUGUGGUGGUCACUGGUGGCAGUGUGUCGUGAUGUCGUCUCCUCGACUUGCGCUGUGAGUUCUGCUUCAGUCGCGUGUUGUUGUAGCGUCUCCUCUAAGCUGUUGGGUUCCGACGUUGUGGCCCUUCGUGUCUCCGUCUCUCUCUCCUUUGUACCUUGCUGCUUCGUGAUCUCUCUUGGAAGCGGACGGGUCUCUGAUAAUGAACAGACUUCGGUUGGGUUUUGGACCUUUUAGCUUGCUUGGUGGCUAUUCUCCGGAGAUGGUGUUUUCGACCGGUCUCACCGCCCUAUAUGGGUUUUCGGGUUCAAGAGGUGUACACGGUCCCGGGCUAGAUAGUUGGAGGCAGCAAUCUUCAGUUCUCUUUUCCGAACGACGGCAUCGUCGGUUGUGAACCCUCCUCGUGCUGCCGGUGUUGAGCUUCUUGGGUGAGUUAGCAGGUUCGAGUUGUAAUUCUUUGGACAGGUAUUGGCUUUUGAGUCUUCUGGAAGUUGUAGGAGCCGGCUGCAUCAAGGUAUGAGGGCGUCUUUCUCUUUGGUGUCUCGUGGUAACUGGGAGUUCAUAUUGUCCAAGCUUAGUCUUCUGGUUCUUCACUGCUUCAUUGUCGCUCUGUUCAAAGGCUUAGUCUUGUCUUAAUUCAUUUUGAUUAUUGUUUGUUGUUAAGGUCUUUGUUUAGUUUAAUUUCUCGUAUCUCUGCUACUAGUGUCUAUGUAAAGUCUGUUUCAAACUUAAAAUCUGGUAUAAUAUUUAACAUUUUACCAAAAAAAAAAAACAUCAUCAUAUGGAUACUGCCCAAAACGGAGCCAGGUCUGGUGAUUUGAACAAUCAAAUCCGCCGUUCAAAGCCAACAAUGGAGUUUCAAGACUUUGUCGGGGACGAAUAUUCAGAAGGAAUCUUUUGCUCGAGCUUCCUUCCUGUCGGUUCGACUAAAUUACUCCUCCUUUACGAGAUGUAAUGAUUCGUCACCGUUAAUAACCAUCUUUACUUCUUCCACCCACGAUCAUGAUGAUUAAUCAUUCACUGCUUCUUAUCUCUCUAGAUUGUGGAUCUCAACCUGUAAAAAAAUUUGCAGGCUAGCCGAUGUUCUUCAACCGUCAAGGUCUCUGAUUUUGGAAAGCAAACACGGUGGAGAGCUGACGGAUGUGGACAUGCUCCUGCUAAGGUGAUUCUGUUUUUAAACAGUUUAUGAGCUAAGAACAGGUAUUUGAUCAUAAGAGUUGGCGUGUUUGGAGACGUGUGCAAUGAAAAGAGAUAAAUGCGCAAGAGAAUGGAUGCGGAUUAUGUUGAAUAUUAUGAAUCUUUGUGAAUUGGAUUUGUUAGGUUAGUGGGAAUAAUUGUUUUCAGAAAAAAAAGGUUAGUGAUAAUGAUGAUGAUGAUAGGUGGAAGGUGAUUAUGGUGCAGUUGUCUUGAGAAACACCAAGCAUGGCAUGAUACGCUAGAUUUGAUCAAAAAAGGCAUGAUGCAGUUGAUAUACACAACAUUGUUGCUUUGUAAUCUAUCUUUUUUUUAAUGGCUUUCUGCUAA